rnacentral:rRNA from 1 species
AGUGAACGCUGGCGGCAGGCCUAACACAUGCAAGUCGAGCGGCAGCGCGGGGGCAACCCUGGCGGCGAGCGGCGGACGGGUGAGGAAUUCGUCGGAAUCUGCCUUUUUGUGGGGGAUAACGUAGGGAAACUUACGCUAAUACCGCAUACGUCCUAUGGGAGAAAGUGGGGGACCGCAAGGCCUCACGCAGAAAGAUGAGCCGACGACCGAUUAGCUAGUUGGUGGGGUAAAGGCCCACCAAGGCGACGAUCGGUAGCUGGUCUGAGAGGAUGAUCAGCCACACUGGGACUGAGACACGGCCCAGACUCCUACGGGAGGCAGCAGUGGGGAAUAUUGGACAAUGGGCGCAAGCCUGAUCCAGCCAUGCCGCGUGUGUGAAGAAGGCCUUCGGGUUGUAAAGCACUUUUGUCCGGAAAGAAAUCCCUGGAGCUAAUACCUUCGGGGGAUGACGGUACCGGAAGAAUAAGCACCGGCUAACUUCGUG